UAUUGUUUAGACUUUAGCUAUGUUUUUUGGCGUUUGCCGUUUGGCCAACUGCCAAUAACUACCAGUGGUUUUAGCUGGUGUAUAAAGUAAAAAAAAAAAUGGUUAAUAUUCUUUAAGAUACGACUUAACGCGGGUAACAUGUAAAACGUAAUUAUUUUCGGGCAAGGUAAUUUAUCUAUAAUAAACGUUCCGAGAUUCCAUCGCGUUAUUUCAAUUUUUUGAUUACUAGAUCUAAAUGCAUCGUCCACGUCUAUGAUGACUUCGACGGUCGAUUUCUAAUACUAGAAAACAAGAAUCGGCAUUAUGUGAUCAAAAUCACAUUCAUUAUACAUUAUAAUUUGAUUUAACGGAUGCGACUGUAAAUUAGUAAUAAUUUUGUGGACGAGAACAAACACAAAAAUCAUCAUGAUGUAUGAUCAUUUACCAAGACUUAUUGGCGGUCAAUCUUUGUUUUAACAAUUUACAACUUUCUUUCGACAUACGAUAGAAAGAUUGAAAUUUGACAUCAUCUUGCAUUAACUCAUUAGCGGCAACAAAAAUACAACAGCUUACAUUAUUCAGUAUGUAUGGAUGUACCCAAUAUCUCCUUUUAUUUUUGCGGUUUGAUAAUACCAGUAUAAUGCAAUGGUAUCAUCAUCUUCAGAGGAUGACUUGUUUGCAACUGAGCCAUUCUAGUUGCCGAAACAUUGCCUAUAGUGUGCAGAACUCACAAAGUCAGAUUAUUGGUGGAAAUGUCAAAGAAAAAUGUAAUAAGAAGAAAGAAUUAUUAAAAAAUUACAGGACCAUAGUACAAUACACUGUUGUGUUCGACGAUGGCGAUAUUACAAGUUUAAAAAGAUCUGCGUUGUGUUUAAAAAGUGGAAAACAUUUCGUUGUUAGUGCAACUCUCGAUCAACUUCCCCUUACUCAUCCCAAACAUAUUACUAGCCCAACACAAAACACAAUUAUUUAUGAACGUAGGAGUUGAAAGCAUAAAAAAUCUGUUGGGGAUAGUGGAGAGGAAGAAAUUUUAGAAAUGGAAGAAGAAGACAUUGGUUAAAUGGUGUGCGUAAUAAUAAUGGUGUUUUGAAGAUUUCUCCCGAAAACUCGAAUGCUUGAUGCUAAGUCAUCCCAGAGGAGUGAGAUCUCAAAGCAGAUUUAGUCGCAGUAUCAUUCGGGAUGUGGAUUAAGCUUUACCCGGCACAUCUACCUCAAGCAGUUCUGUAAUUGUUCAGUAAUUUCAACUGACUAAAUGUUUUAACUAACUUUAGUUAACUCAUUCCAAAUUUAAAGAUGAGUUACCGACAAGACCAAGAAAAGUAUCUAUGAGCCCUAUGAGUUCUUACAUGGUGCCAUGUGGAUCAACAGUAGAGGUAGCAAAUAAAAUCAAAAAGACCGUCAAAAGACCUGAAAAGAAAAAAUCUACCAGGAAGAAAAAUGAAGAUAAAGAUGAUAAUAAGCCUGUAUUGAACGAUUCUCUAAUACUGACCUACACUUAACAUUUAAUCUAGGAGAUAAUUUGGUUGUUUACUAUGGUGAUACACAUACUACUACUUACUAAAAUAUAUCUGUGUCAAUGGUUGUUGACACUGUACAGUCACGGCAGCGGAACGGUCAUGACACCCCUGAAGAUGGACUCUGCAAAGAGUCCGAAACGUCGGUCAACAACCGUUGACACGGAUAUAUCUGAAAAUCAUACACGUGAUAUAUCAACCCGUGAAAGUUUUAACAGAUUCAUUAAGUAAUUAUUAUUUUUGUUGUAGGUUCUUAAUGUAUGCAACAUUGAAGGGUAUGUUCAAAUAUUAUGGCCAUUACAAAGGAUGGAAUACUCGUUACGACAAAUGGAUCGAUUUAACACGCAUCGCAUUGAAAUCUAAGCCACCAGAACCAGAACCAGAUCAUAAUAACGAUGGUCGACGGUGAUGAUUCUUUACAAAAGUGAAAUAAUUCCUAACCUAACCGCCAUGACUCAAGACCGAGGUGCGAAGCCGGCGUGGCUCAACCAAAACUACGGAAGACAUUUACGAGUUCAAGGAACCGGAACCGUGCGGUUUACAGGCGCUGCCGUCGGCCAUCGACAUAAAGCGCGACCGUAGGCUAGUCAAGCAUUCCGAGCUGCCAAAGAUGUACUUGAACCUAUCCUCUCCGUGACUGCCAGCAAAGCCGCGUUAGUCGCUAGCGUAACGGUUGUAACGUUGAUUGCGAUAAGACAAGUCGGUCACCAGCAACGACUAUGGCAGCAGUAGUAGUUGGUACGACAACUGUGUACCGAGUACGAGCAAAUGUAAUUUCUAUGAUACCAACAUGCCGAACACCAGCAAGGAUUUCUACAGCCCGGAAGCCGACGUCAACAAUGUAUUGUUUUGCCAAGAAACCAUACCACGUAGCCGAUGAUCAAUACGAUCAAGAAGACAGGAAGAAAUCAAUAAAUCAAUAUUACAAAGAAAGAGAAGCAGCAUCGGCCAUGUUUGCCAUGAACUUGGCGUUCCGCAAGUCGGCAGUUGCUUCCAAUGACAGCGAACCACACGACUACGAUGCACCACGACACCAGAGAUGGAUUCGGCUCAACGUCAAGUGGGGAAUUUUGGCUAAAAUCAACAAACACCAAAAAGAUUACACCAUGGUCAAAGCGGGCAUUGUGGUGGUGGAUCGCAAGAAGAGCAGGAAACGCAAGAGGGAACUGGUGAAGAAAAAAGGCGCAGUGAAUCCGAACGAACAGUCGACAGCUGCUGUUGCAACCAAAUAAUUCUCUCACCUAAUAUCAAUACAUUUUUGUAUUUUAAUUUUUUUAAUAGCUAACCCCCUAGUUUUACACAAUUGUCAGAAUGGCUCCGUAAUGACAAUCGAUUUGUUGUUAAGAGGACGCCACACCAGCCGUUUCUUAGGAGUAAAGUAUAGGCAAUUUUUCGAAAAAUCUUAAUUUAGAGUUUGAACUAUAAUGCAUACUUAUUAAUACAGUAUUGAGGAUACUUUGUUGAUUGCCAUUCUUUUGUCAGACUAUUACAGUCAUUUCUAUAGGAUAAAUUAUAAUUUUUUCCCUUCAAAAUUGCUUUGCGCGAAUUAUUUUUUCUCAGGCUUCAUAUAUAGUUAAGGAAAGGAAUUCAUACACAUUAUUUAUGACAAAAUUAUCUGUGUUCCAUCAUCCGUAUUUUUUCGAUAUACCUAAUACAACCAGCGCUAUAUCAUUUUUAAAAAAGUCAAAAAGUGCUUUCUUUAUUAAUUAAUUAUUCAUUAACUGGUUAAAAUAUUUAAAAAAGGGCGAUGGUAGAACACAGACAAUGUUGUUGUCCAUAUUAUGUAAAAAUGUGGUUUCUUAGUUUUUAUUAUAGCCUUUGUAAAAUUAAUCCGCGCAAGGUGAGUUUUUUGAAGAAAAUAACGGGUGUGUGACGGCCUCUUAAUACUAAUAUCAUUUAUCCAUAUUCAGUAAUUUAAUUAUUUUUUAUGUUCUUCUGUAUUGUCGGUGCAAGUGUUUUUUUUUUUUUAAUAUAAGCGCUUGAUCUUACUAGACACGCUAUUUAAACAUUUGUAUUUUCUGCUUUAAUUAGAAUUUGUCAUUUAAUGUAAGUACGUCAAACUUAUUAAUACAAUAUCAAGUAUGAUUCCCCCAUAUUGUAAAACAGAUAAACGUUCUACUCGAUUUCCAAUCGUAUAUCAAAUAUAUUUAAAUAACCACAAAAAAAAUAA